CAGAUAGAGAUGGUGUUAUCUCAUUUGAUGAACUUAAGAGGGUCCUCGAAAAUGUGGACAUGAACUCAAAAAUGAGCAUCCGAUUUCUGGCUUGACUUCCUGAGAAAAAGCGGGUUUUAGAAGCAGAAUAUUGAAGAAAUUUAUGUGAUACUUCUCUUUACUUAUUUAUCUUUCCAGUUCAUUCAGAUCAUGAACUCACAAGAAAACCCUACAUUCAUUUGGACAUGAAAAUCAAAUUAGUUGGCACCAGUUAUUUAAAAAUCUCCAGGAAGUACUAAAUGGUAUUUUAAAUUUAACUAGCUCUGACUCAUAUUUAAGCUGUAGCAUGAUCAGUUAGUAUCAAGUUAUUGGUUAAUGGCUAAUUAGUGAAGUGAAAUCUACACCCAUUGUACAGAGUUAAUGAUUCUUUUCAUUGAAAUCUAAUUUUGUGCAAUGGCAGAUAUUCUUUGUCAGAAAGUAAUUUUGUUAGUUGUUAAAAAUAUUGAUUGCUGUACAGUAAUAGUAGCCAAAUGAAUGUGAUGAAACAAUAAAAUUAGAUUUGUAAUUUG